rnacentral:rRNA from 1 species
AUUGAACGCUGGCGGCAUGCUUUACACAUGCAAGUCGAACGGUAACAGGCCGCAAGGUGCUGACGAGUGGCGAACGGGUGAGUAAUGCAUCGGAACGUGCCCAGUCGUAGGGGAUAACUACUCGAAAGAGUAGCUAAUACCGCAUACGAUCUAUGGAUGAAAGCGGGGGACCGUAAGGCCUCGCGCGAUUGGAGCGGCCGAUGUCAGAUUAGGUAGUUGGUGGGGUAAAGGCUCACCAAGCCAACGAUCUGUAGCUGGUCUGAGAGGACGACCAGCCACACUGGGACUGAGACACGGCCCAGACUCCUACGGGAGGCAGCAGUGGGGAAUUUUGGACAAUGGGCGCAAGCCUGAUCCAGCAAUGCCGCGUGCAGGAAGAAGGCCUUCGGGUUGUAAACUGCUUUUGUACGGAACGAAACGGCUCUGGUUAAUACCCGGGGCUAAUGACGGUACCGUAAGAAUAAGCACCGGCUAACUACGUG